rnacentral:rRNA from 1 species
AGUGAGCGCUGGCGGCGUGCUUAACACAUGCAAGUCGAACGAGAACGGGCUAUAGCUUGCUAUAGUUGUCAGCUAAGUGGCGCACGGGUGAGUAAUGUAUAGGUAAUAUGCCUCUUACUAAGGGAUAACAAAUGGAAACGUUUGCUAAUACCUUAUACUCCUUAUUAACAGAAGUUAAUAAGGGAAAGAUUUAUUGGUAAGAGAUUAGCCUGUAUUGUAUCAGUUAGUUGGUGGGGUAAUGGCUUACCAAGACUAUGACACAUAACUGGUUUGAGAGGAUGAUCAGUCACGCUGGAACUGAGACACGGUCCAGACUCCUACGGGAGGCAGCAGUGGGGAAUAUUGCACAAUGGACGAAAGUCUGAUGCAGCAACGCCGCGUGGAGGAUGACACAUUUCGGUGCGUAAACUCCUUUUAUAUGAGAAGAUAAUGACGGUAUUAUAUGAAUAAGCACCGGCUAACUCCGUGCCAGCCGCCGCGGUAA